AUGAAUUUACCAACAAAUUCAUUUGUACUACUUUGGGACCUAUUUCAACCUAUUUUCAGAGGGCUCACAAGAUUUAUAAACAUAAAGGAUGUAAUUCUAAAGUGGCACAACUUCUCCAGAAAAGAACACAGAGGACACGUCUCCAGCUCCUACUGUGUAGCAGUGACUAUUAAAGGCUGGCUCUCUAGGCUUCACAUCUUCUUUGGGACCGAAGCAGACAAGGGGACACUGCCUAUGUUCUGUAACAGGUCACUUAUGCUCAAUAUCAAACUUUGGUUCACAGAAUUAAUGGUGGAAGUUGUAGCUACCUUUAUCCUGGGUAAGAUAAGAAGUUAUGUUCCUGCAUUGUUUGUGACAUGGCCGGACAACCAAUGGAAAUUCCUGGGUUGUUUCAAAAAGAUGUGCCAGUUUAUGGUGAAGAAGACCCUUAUUUAUGUCCUGAGUUCUCUUGCGUCCAUUAUACACAAUCUAAUUGUUGGAGAAGUCUUCAUCAAUAAGCUAUAUUACUUUCUACACAAAAAGAUGGUUUCUGAACCCACAGCUGUGGUUGUCGUUUAGCUACUCUUACACCUACUCACCCUGCAGUCGUUGGGGGGAUACUUGGCACCCGGAGGAGAGCAAAGGACUUUCCUCGCUUAUCUACUGCCACUGGAGGCUUGUGUGCACGCUCGGCUCUCUCCCCGAGCCUGGCCCAUUCUGUCCUCUCACAAGGAACACUGGCUCACAACUGUGAGUGGAAACAUUGAUAUUGAAACCCUAAUGCUCAGCAGCCUGACAGGGAGGCCGGAGACCAAUGUGCAAGUUGGUCUGAUCCGCCUCCGCGUCUGAUGUCACAUGAACUUGCAGCCCGUACCAACCGACACACAGCUCCGUUCUGCCACAGUUGUCACAAGGAAGCUUAUUUCGCUGAACUCCACCCAGUGACACCGUCUCUAUGUGGCAAAGCCAGUUAUUUAUGCUGCAUCGAUCCUAAUCCUUUCAGAAGAACUUCUACAACCUAUGGUGUUACCUUCAUCAAUUGAGCCCCUCACCCCCUCAGCCCCCAGAGCACAUUUGGUUCUUCUUGAAUCUGUGUCUCCUUGAUUUCUUUUUUUUCUUUUCAAGAUUUUAUUUUUUUCAUCAGAGACACACACACACAGAGAGAGAGAGAGAGAGAGAGAGUCAAAGACACAGGCAGAGGGAGAAGCAGGCUCCAUGCAGGGAGCCCGACGUGGGACUUGAUCCCGUGUCUCUAGGAUUAGGCCCUGGGCUGAGGCAGUGCUAAACCGCUGAGCUACCCGGGCUGCCCCUUUGAUUUCAGUACAGUUUUUUUUUGUUUUGUUUUUUUGUGUGUGUGUUUGUUUUUGCAGCCUCAACUCUGUCCUGUUUCACAUACUGAGCAAAUAAAGUUCCUUUCAGGCAAUGGCA
rnacentral:lncRNA from 1 species